UCUCUUCUUCCCUUGUUUGUUUUGUUUAUGAGAGUGCACCACAUUGCUAGAGUUCGUUUGGCUUUUGUUGGACGUUGAGAAUCAAAAGAAAAAACCGUCACAUUAUGGAGCGACUUUUGAGUUAAGAAAAGAGAUCAUCAAAGUUCUUGACUCUCUUUUCUACAGUCGUUCAUCAAUCAUCUUUUCAUCAUUGUUGUAAUUUACUGCUUGUUCUAUGAUAUUUUCUUUAUAAAUAUUGGAUUUUAACAGGAACACAAUCCAAUAUUUGCUAAACAAAUAACAUAAAAUAAUUAGUAAAUUACAACAAUUUUGAAAAGAUGAUUGAUGAUUGGAGAGAGAUUGAAAAGCAGAGUUGGUAACUUUGAUGAUCUCUUUCUUUAAUUCAAAACUUUGGUGAAAGAGGAUGCACCUUUUCUCCAUCAAAGAAUACCAACUUGUUGAGAAUUUUCUAAAGAAAGCUUACUAGCUAGCCCAACCAAACCUCUUCCGAGUAUUGACAAGUGAAGAACAAAUAUGACUGCGAUUUUCAAGGGGUUCAUGACAGAAAACACAAGAGGGAUCUACAACAACAUUCCAAUUUAACAUUCUAUCUCUCACUGUUAAGUGAUAUAUUUUUUUGCAAGCCAGACUAGGAAUAAACACUACAACAAAUAUUCACAUUAAUAGCACAUGACGAUAGCUCAUUUUCCACAACUGCUAUGAUAGAGUAAUUAUUUUUUCGAUUGUUCUAUAAUAACACUAAAACAAUGCUAAGAAACCAAAUCACAUAUUCCGCCAACAUUUGCUCGAAAAUAUUGAGUUAAGCGCCAUAACUUAGAAAAUAUUAACUUAAGCGCCACAAUUUUUCCUUUCUUUUACAUUGGUUUGGAGACAAAAAUGAAAAAAAGAAAAAUUUCGACCAAAAGAAAAACAGUUCUUGAGGAAACCAUCUUCUUCUCCCUCCAUCCUCCUCGCAGAUCUACUCCGCCGUUGUUGCUGAACCAUCUCUCCCACCCUCUUCCAUCUUAGCCACCUCAUCCAUCUCCAAUUCCUACGACCCAGCUCACCCAAACCCUAAAUCGAAAUUUUGGUUGAUUUAGGGUUUAUGCCUCAUCUUCCCCGUCUCUCUCUCACCUCAUUGGCUCUCUCAGUGAGGAGCCCGAUUCCAGUUUAGGGUUUAUGCCUCAUCUUCCUCGUUUCUCCCUUUCUCUCUUCGUAGCCAGCCACCACCAUGGAUUCUCGAGCUAUACUCGAUUCCGCUUUGUUUCAACUCACUCCUACUCGCACGAGAGUCGAUCUGGGCUCUUCUGUGAGAGUAAGAAGCAUAAGCUAGCUUCUAGAAUUUCAAACCUUUCGUCUCUCAUCUCCAAUUUGCUAGAGAUCAGAUCUCUAAAGGAGGUUACUCCAUCUCUCUUCAUCCUCCUUCUUUUCACUCUCCUUGGUUCACCAAAUCCACUUUUGAUCGAUUUGUAAACACGCCUGCGAUAAUCGAGAGAUUUGCGAAUCUGGAGAAAGAGAUCUUGUAGAUUGAGCAUUCUAUUCAAGCUAAUGAAAACGCCAAUGCUGCUGCUGAUGCUGAGCAAUUACAAACACAAGAUGGUGAAGCUAAUUCUGGAGUAAGUAGUAAUCUAAGGAAGUCGAACGAGUUAUUCAAGAAGGUAUUUGAGAAUGGCAAUGAGGUUACAGGAGAGGAAACCUCAAACUUCAACGUCUUCUUGAAACACAUAGGACAUUGCUACUGUAGGAUUUCGAUAAGUUUUGGUGGUUGCAGUGAAAGCCGUGCAGUAGAUACAGAGUCACUAUGUGUUCUAGCCGGAAAGGUGGUCUGGUCUGUUUGCAUUGAUGUUCACAUUUUUGACAAUGGAAUUGGCUGCAUUUCUUCUUCAUGUUCAGAGCUAUGGUGCAAGGCAGUGCAAGUGUGGAUCAGAGGACCUUGCUCUGUCCAUGACAUCAACUCUUACUCUCUCUCUCUCUCGGAACAAAUUGUAAAUGGUAACAUUUUUUUCCUUCUUCUUAUCUGAGUCAUUGCUUGACCUACUUAGUAGGAGUUGCUCAUGCUUCAUUUGAGUACAUCAAGUUCAUAAUGUGAGUUGGAAUAUCUUAUUGGAAGUUUUGGUAGUCUUGUGAAGGUUUGGAAUAUAUCUUAUUGCUCUGCUUGUUUUAUCCGUUUCAUUAUGUUUUUGUGUUUAUGUCUUGGUAUAGGUUCCCACAUUGCCUAUAUCUGUUAGUUGUCUAUUUGAACAUGUUGUAACGUUGAAUAAUAAGGUUUGUAGGUUUCCGCUCAUGUAUAGGUAACACUUACAAUUUAUGGUUUAUUUAUCUCUAUGUGAUUGCUAUGUGCUUAUAGGGUUAAUGGCAUAUUGUGGCUUCUCACGAUUCUUUUGUUUCAUAUGAGCAGAUAUAUAUGGAGAGGAUAACUAACAUGUCUUUUUCAUACAUUCAAAGUGAACUAGUAGCUGUUCAAUGGACUAUUUCAAGAAACGCUAAGUGAGCAGCUAAAAGAGAGUCUUUGCUACAACAAGUAAGAAAGGCUGGGUUACAUGUACAUGUCAUGUUAGUUUUAUUGUUAGUUUUAUUUUGUUUAAGACUUGGUGACACUUUGUUAUGUAAGACUUAU